AGUGAACGCUGGCGGUAGGCCUAACACAUGCAAGUCGAACGGCAGCACAGUAAGAGCUUGCUCUUACGGGUGGCGAGUGGCGGACGGGUGAGGAAUACAUCGGAAUCUACUUUUUCGUGGGGGAUAACGUAGGGAAACUUACGCUAAUACCGCAUACGACCUACGGGUGAAAGCAGGGGAUCUUCGGACCUUGCGCGAUUGAAUGAGCCGAUGUCGGAUUAGCUGGUUGGCGGGGGAAAGGCCCACCAAGGCGACGAUCCGUAGCUGGUCUGAGAGGAUGAUCAGCCACACUGGAACUGAGACACGGUCCAGACUCCUACGGGAGGCAGCAGUGGGGAAUAUUGGACAAUGGGCGCAAGCCUGAUCCAGCCAUACCGCGUGGGUGAAGAAGGCCUUCGGGUUGUAAAGCCCUUUUGUUGGGAAAGAAAAGCAGCAGGUUAAUACCCCGCUGUUCUGACGGUACCCAAAGAAUAAGCACCGGCUAACUUCGUG
rnacentral:rRNA from 1 species